AUUGAACGCUGGCGGCAGGCCUAACACAUGCAAGUCGAGCGAGCGGCGGACGGGUGAGUAAUGUAUGGGGACUGCCCGAUAGAGGGGGAUAACUACUGGAAACGGUGGCUAAUACCGCAUACUAUCGGAUAACCCAUAUGGGAUUAGCUAGUAGGUGGGGUAAAGGCUCACCUAGGCGACGAUCUCUAGCUGGUCUGAGAGGAUGAUCAGCCCAACUGGGACCGAGACAAGGGCCAGACUCCAAGGGAGGGAGGAGGGGGGAAUAUUGCAAAAGGGGGGGAAGCCUGAUGGAGGCAUGACGGGUGUAUGAAAAAGGCCCUAGGGUUGUAAAGUACCUUCAGCGGGGAGGCGUUACCCGCAGAAGAAGCACCGGCUAACUCCGUGCCAGCAGCCGCGGUAAUAC
rnacentral:rRNA from 1 species